rnacentral:rRNA from 1 species
CCCUUAGAUAUCUUGGACAGCACGCGUAAUACAAUGUUCACAACAACGAGUCAAAACGUCUGUUCUGUUACUUGUAAUAGUCAGGCAACCUUAUCUGAGAAGAUUGGGAAAACUGUGACAAUUGUGAACUUGACAGGGAUUGCGCCUUGUAAAUGGCGCAUGAACGAGGAAUACCUAGUAAGCGUGACUCAUCAAAUCGCAUUGAUUACGUCCCUGCUUUUUGUAUACACCGCCCGUCGCUUCAAUCAACAUGGUUGAGGCUAUGAAGUGGAAUGGAUUUGUGCCAUCUAUCUCUAGUGGGUAGACCAAAUGGCAUGAAGAAGUCCAAUGAAUUGUCUUGAUCUUAGAAUGAAGAAGUCGUAACA